UGAUGUAUUCUCACCUUCACCUUCCAUUAUGACCGAGCCUCCUGCAUAUCCCUGUCCAUACAAUUGCUUCAAGCUCCUCAAAGAUGAGGAGAAAUCUAAAAAGUUGGUGUCUCGCGUACUUGCUCCGCCCUCUCAAUCUUCAACAGGCAGCGUUUUCCACACAGAAAUCUUGCUAAUGGGAUUUUGUUUGCUAUUAGUAUCUUUUGUUUUUAUCAAUGAUAUUACAUUUCAAUGAUAUGAGGAUGUGACUAAUGAAGGAUCAGCAAGCCAUGCAAAGACUAAACAGCUUGAUGAUGCUUCAAAAGUUUUGCGCAGACAAAGGAAGAAACUUCCGACAAGAUUUAACUGUCUAUAUUUUGAUUCUGGCAUGCAACCAUAUUGUAAAGCUUUGGUGGAUUAAGGUCAAAGCCAGAAAGAUGGCAGACCUCUAAUCUUGUAUUUUGUAUCCUAUAUGAAGUGUGAAAUUGACCCCAAAGGGGUCAACUAACAAACAACAUGAUCCGAAGCAAAAUUGGCUUUAGAUGUCAAAAGAACCAUUCUUUGUACUCAAUUAAGUGUAUAAUACGCAAAGAAAUUAAUGGGUUCUUUGGGCAUCUGAAUCUGUAAAGUAUCUGCAGUAAUAUCCAAUAGAGGACUCUGUUUUUAUGAUUUUGGGUGUUUGGAAGUCCAAUUAUGUACUAAAUUCUUAAA